rnacentral:rRNA from 1 species
UCGAACGAACCUUCGGGUUAGUGGCGGACGGGUGAGUAACGCGUGAGAAUCUGCCCUCAGGAGGGGGAUAACAGCUGGAAACGGCUGCUAAUACCCCAUAUGCCGCGAGGUGAAAUGAAUUUCGCCUGAGGAUGAGCUCGCGUCUGAUUAGCUAGUUGGUGUAGGUAAUGGCUCACCAAGGCAUCGAUCAGUAGCUGGUCUGAGAGGAUGAUCAGCCACACUGGGACUGAGACACGGCCCAGACUCCUACGGGAGGCAGCAGUGGGGAAUUUUCCGCAAUGGGCGAAAGCCUGACGGAGCAACGCCGCGUGAGGGAUGAAGGCCUCUGGGCUGUAAACCUCUUUUAUCAAGGAAGAAGAUCUGACGGUACUUGAUGAAUAAGCCACGG